rnacentral:rRNA from 1 species
GACGUAGGGUCCAAGCGUUGUCCGGAAUUAUUGGGCGUAAAGCGCGUGUAGGCGGCUUUGCAAGUCGGGUGUGAAAGCCCUCGGCUUAACCGAGGAAGUGCGCCCGAAACUGCAGAGCUUGAGUACCGGAGAGGAUGGCGGAAUUCCCCAAGUAGAGGUGAAAUUCGUAGAUAUGGGGAGGAACACCGGUGGCGAAGGCGGCCAUCUGGACGGAUACUGACGCUGAGACGCGAAAGCGUGGGGAGCAAACAGG